AUGUCCUCCAUGUCACCCUCUCUCUGUGUGUGUGUGUCUGUCCGUCUGUGUGUCUUGCUGUCUCUCUCCUCAGGUGAAGUGUGGAGUGACAGGGCCCAGGGCUGCUCUUUCUUUCACCUUCUUGUCUCCAAAGUGCCAGGCGUUUCACGCAGGGUGAGAGACGUUACUGAGGUGUGUGUUAUUCUUGUUGUCGGCCUCCAGCCGGGAGCAGGAGUCAGCACAGCUAGUUACAUACACAGCGCCAUCAGCCUGUCAGUCAAGUCAGGAGUCGAAGAGUUACUGAGAGUUCAGUCCAUCUGUCUUCUCUCAAAUAAAGAGAGACUCCCUGCAAAUAUGUCUAAUCUUCCUUACCUCUCUUUCAUAACCAUCACUUUUCCCUCUCUCUGUGGGACAUGAUACGUUCGCUCCGUCAACUUGAGGCUUAUCGCUGUGUAUAAAGGGGUUCUGUGUUCUGUCAUAGAGGCAGGAGGCCAUAAACACAUAUGAGCUUCUCCCUCACUGUCAAGGAUUUCUGAGUUGUAAUUGGCUGAGAGCUGCACUGUCAGCUGAUUGGCCGGGCUGAGGAUGAAUGGCCACGCUGACAACCAAUGGGGCCAGAUGAGGGUGAGCCGGGUGAGAUAUGGGACACCGCAUUCUUGAGCACUAAUCAAAUCUUAGAAAAUUUCAAUGAUGGGUAUGUGUUAUGUUUGUUGAUUUGCCUUCAUUAGUCUUUACAAUGAGUCCAUGUUCUUAUGCAUUUUGUGCAUGUGAUGAAUCAUGUUGAUAGACGUCUGUAUAAAUCCUCAAUGUGUAAGAGUUUUUUUUUUGUUUUUGUUUUUUUUGCCAGUGAGUGAAUCAGUUUGUAUCAAGAGUUCAUAUGCAGGUGGAACCAAGACAGGCCUCAAAAGAUUCAAACACAUUUUGCAGCAAGCUAAUAAAGUUUAUACUGAAGAGGUUCUGGGAUCAAAGGUCACCUACUGCCCUCUACUCAGCAUCCCCUCACCACUCCAACAGGAGUGCUGAAAAUAACCUGUGAUGGAUGCAAAUCUGAACAUUUCCCUCAUUCCCUCCUCCUUUCUUAGUCUACCUUUCUCUGCUCAUCAGACCAUCUCUCAUCAUCCCUAAUAGUCCAGAUGAAGAUGGAUAUGGACAGUCAGUUAUUUAUGGAUUAGGGGCGGAGCUCUGAACCUCUCUUGCCAUUUUUUAAUGUCCUGAAAAGCUUUUGGGCAUGUUUCACAUUACCAUUAUUAUUUUCUUUUUUUCUUUUUCUUUUUUUUUUACAUCUCCUUGAACUUUUUCUUUUUUGAUGUAUUUCUUAUAUAUAUAUAUAUAUAUAUAUUGUUCAAACAGGGGUCGGGUUUCUUUGUUUCUUUUUUUGGAAAGAAAUUAAUACUUUUAUUCAGCAAGUAACACUUUCAUUGAUGAAAAGUGACAGCAAAGACAUUUGUAAUGUUACUGGUCACUUACAACUUGUGUUUUGUAGAAAAGAGCAACUAGGACAUAAAUAUCUCAUGAAAAUACGUCAUUUGUUGUUCCGUGGAAGCAUGAAAAGUUUGAAUUACAUUUGGGUGAGAUAUGAUCAUUUGGUUGAGUUAUUCCUUUUAUGUAAACAUACUGUACAAACAUUCAGACGCCUCAAUGUUCUGUAAGAAACUGUUUCAGACGCACACGCACACAUACUGAGAGACGACAUGUCUAGUGGUCUGUGAGGCGGAGAUGGACAUGGUGUUCUGUCGUGUGGGUAGACACACGUCCUGGGACACAGGAAUCAGGAGGGGGUGUUUUUGUGCUCUGUUUUAGUCAGCUUCCUCUCUGUGCCACAGAACUUCCUGUGUUGGUUCCGUGAAAGGAGGCCCACCAGUUUCCCCCCAGCGGAAUGAGUGCGUGCCUGUGCACGUGGGUGCUCAUCUUACAUAUUGUAAGUCACUGCCACCUACCACACUCAGCAUUCUCUUUCUACACCCUGUAGUCAUUUAGUCUGCUUCAGUAUUUGUCUACAGGGUGUGACUGCUAUAAAUGUGGCUACUUCAGCGUGGUUUUGGUACCAGUGCAUUGUAAGCGACUAUGUUGUUAUUUCUUAGAGAUAAAAAUAUUUUGUAAAUAUUUUACAAAAAUUGCUUCAGCUUUCAUAAAUAUUUUAAUUAAUUAAUAGUACAUGUUAGUUAUGAUAUGUGACUAACAUGCAGAAUAAAAAAGGAAAUUAUAUCAUUUUGCAAUAUCAUAAAAUUUGACCUUUAUGUCAUG
ensembl:lncRNA